GUCUGACUCCAGAUCAGAAGGCUGCGUGUUCGAAUCACGUCGGGGUCAUAGUUUUUCGUAUUUUUUUUCUUUUUAAAUUCACUAGUCUAAUGUGAACCGAGAUGUGUUCCCGCCACUUUUAAAAAAUGCUUUUCGUGCUCUAAAGCUUCCUUCAAAAGUUACCGUACUACUUUAAUUGCUGAAAAAUAAGGCUUACCAAACAUUGUAGCGUCUGAAGGCUAGCUUUAGGCCUUGUAAAGUGAAGUGGUUUGUUUUGUGUGUGUGUGUACACAAUGCCUUCAGAACUGGUCUUUCUUCUGAACCCGUUGUGAUUUUUCAUAGCAAUCAUACAAUAGUUGGGGUACAGACUUUAAUACACACAAAAAAACCUUAUUUGCCUUUUGAAAACAAGGUCCCAUACAAUUUAUAAAACCGGUUUUGAGCAGCAGAAAACAGUUAUAUUUUAAGCCACUGGGUGCCAAAUGUUGGCGUAAGUGCGGUGAGAGAAACAUAAAUUGGAAUGGAGUUACAGAACAGAGAACAGCUCUGCCCUGGGUCAAGAUAGCACGUCACGAGGUGAUUCUAUCUGCAUCAAAAAG
rnacentral:lncRNA from 1 species